rnacentral:sRNA from 1 species
CGGGUCCCCUGUGUCCGCCGCCGCUGUAGUCCCCCGCGCCCGCCACUUCCGGGGCCGCAGUCCCGGGCAUGGAGCCGCGACCGUGAGGCGCCGCUGGCCCCGGGACGACCUGCCCAGCCCGGCCGCCGCCCCACGUCCCGGUCUGUGUCCCACGCCUGCAGCUGGAAUGGAAGCUCUCUGGACCCUUUAGAAGGCACCCCUGCCCUCCUGAGGUCAGCUGAGCGGUUAAUGCGGAAGGUUAAGAAACUGCGCCUGGACAAGGAGAACACCGGAAGUUGGAGAAGCUUCUCGCUGAAUUCUGAGGGGGCUGAGAGGAUGGCCACCACUGGGACCCCAACGGCCGACCGAGGCGACACAGCCGCCACAGAUGACCCGGCUGCCCGCUUCCAGGUGCAGAAGCACUCGUGGGAUGGGCUCCGGAGCAUCAUCCACGGCAGCCGCAAGUACUCGGGCCUCAUUGUCAACAAGGCGCCCCACGACUUCCAGUUUGUGCAGAAGACGGAUGAGUCCGGGCCCCACUCCCACCGCCUCUACUACCUGGGAAUGCCAUAUGGCAGCCGAGAGAACUCCCUUCUCUACUCUGAGAUUCCCAAGAAGGUCCGGAAAGAGGCUCUGCUGCUCCUGUCCUGGAAGCAGAUGCUGGAUCAUUUCCAGGCCACGCCCCACCAUGGGGUCUAUUCUCGGGAGGAGGAGCUGCUGAGGGAGCGGAAGCGCCUGGGGGUCUUCGGCAUCACCUCCUACGACUUCCACAGCGAGAGCGGCCUCUUCCUCUUCCAGGCCAGCAACAGCCUCUUCCACUGCCGCGACGGCGGCAAGAACGGCUUCAUGGUGAGCCCCGGCCCUGGUUGCGUGCGGGGGUGGCGUGGAGGGCCCCUCCCCCUGAGCUGGGCGUCUCUGUCCUCAGGUGUCCCCUAUGAAACCGCUGGAAAUCAAGACCCAGUGCUCAGGGCCCCGGAUGGACCCCAAAAUCUGCCCUGCCGACCCUGCCUUCUUCUCCUUCAUCAAUAACAGCGACCUGUGGGUGGCCAACAUCGAGACAGGCGAGGAGCGGCGGCUGACCUUCUGCCACCAAGGUUUAUCCAAUGUCCUGGAUGACCCCAAGUCUGCGGGCGUGGCCACCUUCGUCAUACAGGAAGAGUUCGACCGCUUCACUGGGUACUGGUGGUGCCCCACAGCCUCCUGGGAAGGUUCAGAGGGCCUCAAGACGCUGCGAAUCCUAUAUGAGGAAGUCGAUGAGUCCGAGGUGGAGGUCAUUCACGUCCCUUCUCCUGCACUAGAAGAAAGGAAGACGGACUCAUAUCGGUACCCCAGGACAGGCAGCAAGAAUCCCAAGAUUGCCUUGAAACUGGCCGAGUUCCAGACUGACAGCCAGGGCAAGAUCGUCUCGACCCAGGAGAAGGAGCUGGUGCAGCCCUUCAGCUCGCUGUUCCCUAAGGUGGAGUACAUCGCCAGGGCCGGGUGGACCCGGGACGGCAAAUAGUUCAUGACAUCUUCUAUCCCUUCCCCCAAUCAGAGGGAGAUGACGAGCUCUGCUUUCUCCGCGCCAAUGAAUGCAAGACCGGCUUCUGCCAUUUGUACAAAGUCACCGCUGUUUUAAAAUCCCAGGGCUACGAUUGGAGUGAGCCCUUCAGCCCCGGGGAAGGUGAGCAGAGCCUGACGAAUGCUGUCGACUCAUCGCGUUAGUCAUGUGUGGUUCAAUGUGCUGUUUGUUCAUUGAUCGGCCCCCCCACUCAGCAAGCACACCCUGCAGGAGAAGGGACAGGGAUCGGCAGGAAGCCAGCCUUCCCCAGUGACUGGUCAUGAUCUGGCAAGGCUUAGAGCACCCAGCUGUUGGCUUAUUCAGGCAGCAGAUUUACUGAGCACCUCCCCUGUGCCAGGCCCUUAGCACAACCAGGGGUUGGCCACCUAUGGCUGCAGGUCAAAUCCGGCCUAUCACCUGUGUUCAUAAAUAAAGUUUUAUUGGCACUGGGCCACAGCCACUUGUUU